AUAAUUCACCCGAUGUUUCUGUCAGCUGCUCCUACCCCGGUGCUCGGUUGUAGAGUUUGGAGGAGAGGAGAUUUGUGGUUAAUUAAAUCUCCUGAGGAUUAGGGAUUUCGAGGUGAACUGAGGGUUAGAUGCCCGCCUCGGCAGUCUCUGUACCCCUGGUUUAGGGGUUUCGCUUUGAGGCAGAGACAGGGAUUGAGUCUCGGAAAGUGGAGGCAACAGUGAAUGACACCCUCGGAAUUCCUCAGGUAGCAGGGGAAAAAAACAAAACCAAAAAGAAAAUAAUUAGCACUUUACAAGCCUUAACAUUCUCGAUCAGGAAAGAUAAAAUGAAACACUUAUCAAUGAAGACAGGAAUACGAAAGGUUAACAUCUUUCGCCUCUCAACAGUUCAGUGAAACAAGCAGCAGGCACGUGGGGCCUCACGUGGAGAGAGGGCAGAGAAGACAGUGUAGAAAAAGACCCUUCGGCCCACUGAACGCCAACUUCCCAUUUACAUUCAUCCUGCAUUUCUGUGGAAUGAUAAUGAAGCUGAGUCAUUUUUCUUAGAUCAUUCAAGGUAGAGCAUGUCACAAACACAAGAGAUUCUGCAGCUGCUGGAAAUCCAGAGCAACGUGCACAAAAUGCUGGAGGAACUUGGGAGCUCAGGCAGCAUCUAUGGAGGGGAAUAAACAGUCAAUGUUCUCUAAUGCAUUGAUGAGGCCAAACUCAUGUUGGAGGAGCAAUACUCCCUAUUCUGUCUGGGUAGCCUCUGACCUGAUGGUGUGAACAUCAAUUUCUCACCCCUCCCCCAUUUCUCAUUUUCCAUUCCUCAUUCUGGUUCCCCUCUUACCUCUUCUUUUCACUUGCCCAAUAUCUCCUUCUGGUGCUCCCCCUCCUUCUCCUUCUUCUAUGGUCCACUGUCCUCUCCUAUCAGAUUCCUUUUACUUCAGCCAUUCAUCUCUUCCAUCAAUCCUCUUUCAGCUUCUUAUUUCAUCCCCUCCUCCACCCAUUCACCUUCUCUCUCACCUGGCUUCACCUAUGACCUUCUAGUUUGUACUCCUUCCCCUCUCGCACCUUCUUAUUCUGGCUUCUUCCCCCUUUCUCCAGUCCUGAUGAAAGGUCUCGGCUCGAAAUGUCGAUAGUUUAUUCCCCUCCAUAGACGCUGUCGGUACCUCCAGCAUUUCAUGUGUGUUGAUUAAGGUAGAGGUUCAGUCUAUGAAGGAUUUUGAUUGUGUUAUUGUUCAUGGCCCACUCCUAUGCUAUGAAUUUUAUAACAGGUUAUCUAAGUACAGAAAGAUCCCUUGGAAAGCAAUAAGAUAAUUUUGAAUUUUGACAAGUCUGAAUUUUCUCCAACAAUCUCUGUGUUAGCCAUUCACUUUUAUGUAAUAGGGUUAUGAGGAAAAAUGUAAUGACACAGCUGUAAAUUCUGUCAGGCAGUGUGAUGUUGCUCUCUGAAUCACAUGCCAUAAACACGUCUCACAGAAUAUGAUAUAGAGUGUAUUGCCCUGAACCAACCCCCAGCUCAGCAGGUCCGUAUUGUUGUCUAUAUCCCACACUAGCAUCCUCCUAUGCCUCUCCAACCCAAUCACCCUGUUCACCCUCACCUCUUAUUGAUAAAAUCAUAACACACAUGGUUGUGUCCAAUCAGCUUCUAACUUUGAUACAGAGUUGAAUCUGGAUAGGAAGGGACGCUGAAGGUUAGAGCAGGAGGUCUGCACUCAGCUGCCAUGUUUUGAGCCCCUCUGUUGCCAAGGGAGUGGUACAUUUGAAUAGGGGUUAGUGCAAUGCCUUACAAUGCCGGCAGGCACCGAUUGACAUUCAAUUCCCACCGCAGUCUGAAAGGACACUCUAUCGUUUCCCUGUAAUCACAUGGGAUUCCUCUGGGUUCUCCAGUUUCUUCCCUCAUUCCAAAUAUAUUCUAGUUAGGAUUAGUAAGUAUUGGGUACAGUACAGUACGUUGGUGUCAGAAACAUGGUGACACCUGCAAACUACCCCCAGUAUAUCCUCGGACUGUGCUGGUUGUUGACGCCAAAACGGCAUAUUUCACUGUAUGGUUCAAUGUACAUGUGACAAAGUAAUUUUUGAUCUCUUUAAUAAAGUGUUGCUUCCAGAAAUGGAUGAGGGGUGAACAUGGUACCUUCUACCUCCAGCCCGCCAGCAGGAGCGUGUGAUAACCAGACGUACUGUAUGUAAACAUCUUCCACUCUACAAUGAGCAUCAUGGGACAAUGCAGCCUAACACAGAGCUAAUAAAAAUAUUGUGACUUUUGGAGACGUAAUUGCUAGCUGCUGUAUUGUUAAUUUUAAUGAUAGGCUGGGAAUCAAGAUGAAACAUAUUUUUGGUUUCACUGCAGUGCGAGGGAAGGUGUUGGGGGGUAAGGAGCUGAGAUUAUCAGCAUGUUGCUGAGGGAACAAUGCACAAGAUCCCAGAAAACACAGGCCAUACUUGACUGCUCAAAGCAGGGCAGCCAAGGCCAAUACUUAACCCUCAAACGCACCUAAAACCCAUGAUUUACUUCAUUAUUUCUUCACGGGAACUUGCUGUAUCCAAAUUUGUUUGCUGUAGUUCCUGCAAUACAGCAGUGAUUAACCUUCAAAAAGAACUCCACAGAAUGACUCAAUGGAUGCAAAAUCUUUUAGCUUUAUUUAGAAAUACAGUGCAGAACAGACCCCUCCCACCCUUCAAGCCUCACUGCCCCAGCGGCAUUAGCCUAAUCACGGGACAAUUUACAAUGAUAGAUUAAAAAAGGUUUAAAUGUUCAUUAUUGUCAAGUUUGCAUGUACAGUGCAACUCCGAUACUCAACUUCUCUCAAUAGCCAUGAAAUACAGUCAUUGAAAUAAAAGACAACAACCCACCCUCCCCCUACAAAAAGGGAAAAUAAAUAAAAUUCGCAAACCCCCUCCCUCACACUAAAGAAACCAAAUGGAUCACCCACACGGAAAACCUACCCGUCGAUGCAUCUUUGGACUGUGGGAGGAAAUUGGAGUUCCCGGAGAAAACCUGCAGAUUCCAUGGGGGAAGACUCCAGUCUCCUUACUGACCUCCGGACUGUAAUAGCGUUGCAUUAACCGCUGUGCUACCACAGCGCUUAUUUCUUUAAAACUGAGAUGAA